rnacentral:rRNA from 1 species
GGAAUAUUGCACAAUGGGCGAAAGCCUGAUGCAGCGACGCCGCGUGAGGGAUGACGGCCUUCGGGUUGUAAACCUCUUUCAGUAGGGAACAAGGCCAGUGUUUAGCUGGUUGAGGGUACUUGCAGAAGAAGCGCCGGCUAACUACGUGCCAGCAGCCGCGGUAAUACGUAGGGCGCAAGCGUUAUCCGGAAUUAUUGGGCGUAAAGAGCUCGUAGGCGGUUUGUCGCGUCUGCCGUGAAAGUCCGGGGCUCAACUCCGGAUCUGCGGUGGGUACGGGCAGACUAGAGUGAUGUAGGGGAGACUGGAAUUCCUGGUGUAGCGGUGAAAUGCGCAGAUAUCAGGAGGAACACCGAUGGCGAAGGCAGGUCUCUGGGCAUUAACUGACGCUGAGGAGCGAAAGCAUGGGGAGCGAACAGGAUUAGAUACCCGGG